UAACGCAACUUAUUUAUUAUUUACAAAGGAGAAAAUGUGAUUACAUUUCCACACAGGGAAGGGAACAUUAUUAAUAUGCGCUCCCAUGAUUUCAUGUGUUUAUUGUCUGCUUCAUAAGGAUGUUUUCCGGGCGCAGACUAAUUCCUGGAAAAGAUGGCGAAGGAAGGAAUAAAUAAUUGAAGAAGCAAUUAAGGCCUGCACGAGAAGAAAAUACCGGCUCAUUAAAAAUUCAUGCGGCAAAUCCCGCGAGACUUGGCGAGGCACUCGAUCGCGGCCACGCCCACGCCGCCGGUGCACGUGAGCAGCAAAAAAAGCCAAAACAUCUCAACAAGAUGGCGCUUGAGUUAAACCCUUUCAACUCUUUUUGGACGACUUCUCGGCGUCAAAUGGAGCAAGUGUGAGACCCCCGAGGACGACGAGCGGUCCAAAAGUGAAAAUUGAGGUCGAAGUGGAUGAGAGAAGCAGUGAUGCCAAGAAGAAUGACACUCAGGUCAUCAUGUGGACUCUGAGUCUCUGUCCUCAUCAAGUUUGUCCUCCACUUCCUGUUUCAAAGACAUGUGCCCUCCUCGCAGUCUCCACCCGCCCACCACGUCCCAGGGGUGACAUCAAACGCUGCUGCUGAGUGCCACCUUUGUCAUCCCUCCAUCCUGGGAGGGGGGCGGAGCUAUGAGGACGAAAGCGCUGACUCAGCAAGAAGAAGAAUUAAAAAAACAAAAACAAAGAGAAGAGAAGAGAAGCAAAGCCCCGCGGGGGUGACGUCGGACGCCGUUUAAUGAGAGAAGGAUGGAGAGUUGAGCAGCUGCUGCUCCAUGACUCCACAGCCCAGCACCUCCAUCCAGUCGCCCUGGAAACGCACUUCCAUCUCAAAGGAAGGAUGAGUGAAGGGGAAGUAACAGUCCACCCAGCGCACCUCCACAUCUAAGGAGGAAGCGGUGGAAGUCAGCCAUGGCGACUCUUUGAAGGCGCCCCCUGCCAGCUGACCUUUUCCAAACAGGUGGGUGACGAGUCGCGUCAGCGUGCGCUUCAGGUCAAACUCCACCAGCUUGACGGCCUCCAGGGUUUGCGUUUCCUGUUUCUGUGGCGUCCUGCGGCCAGCGACCUCAAACAUCUGGAGGUCUUUGCCGUUCUGAACCUUGGAGAAGAGCUGCGCGCAAAAGUCACACAACGCUCAGUGGGAAAGUUGAUUUAAGGACAGUGGCCUCCAUCUUACCUCAUGGUCGGAGAAGAGUCGCACGCCUUCCAUCUGGUGGAAGACUGGGUAGUGACUGGCGUCAAUCUCGUCCCGUCGGUAAACGUCUCCAGCCAAUAGGAAGGCGUCCAGACCGGAUCUCACCAGCUCCCUCUGGUGGGCGGAGGUGUGAGCGCGUAGCAUGGUGGCCCUUUUGAGGGGCCCACAUGCUGAUGACCAGGAUGUUCUACAGUACAACAGGUGCAUGGGCAGGGAGUCACUUACCUAUUCAGGUAAUAGUUAUCUCCACGCUUCCUGCUGGGGUGGUCGGGCGGAAUCAGCAAGCUGUCAAUCAAACACGACCAAAGUAAGAAGAACAAAGAUGGAGGAGGAAGUAAUGGCGAGGCUGUCAAUCAAACGACCUGUCAAAGUUCUGCUCCACGGUAACCACGGGGCUCAGGUUGUCAUGGACGGAGAACAACGGGUUGCCCCAGCGACCGAUGUAGGCACUGCGGCACACAACAAAUCCACGACUUGUUAAACAAAAUAAAAAAUAUUCAUCAGUCAUGAAAAAUGCUUGAGCAGGCGCGUCUUAAAGAGUAAAGAUCACGACCCCCUCAAAUGGCAGAAUCGUAAAGCACCGUCGCACAACCCGCUUAACGACUUCCUAAUGCAACAUUAAUGCGGCGAUUGCUGCAAGCCACUUUUAUGGCGACUCAGGCAGAUAACAACGUUCGCUGAGGAGCGCAGUUAACUUUUACACUGCUGCCUCCCCGAAGACGCGUCCGAGACACGCACUCAGCUGAUUGUUCAAAAACUACAGCGAGGAGGCCGGCGUGUGCUGAGCGUCAUGUGACACUCGGCGGUGUCCUCACCUGUAGAAGUGAGCCUUGAUCCUCUCCUUGACGAGCCAGAGAGGAUGAUGGGAGCGGUUGUGGAGGUCGCGGCCCACUUUGGCCAGGAUCUUGGGGGUAACGUUGGUGAAGUCAUCGCAGGGGUAGGCGUGGCCUAAGACCUCCACGGACUCUUGAGCGAUCGCGGGCUUGAGGGCAGGGCCUUCCGUGCAGACGUGCCGAAGUGACGCGGCGAUGCCACGAAGAGGAGGGGGGCGAAGCAGCAGGCGCAAUAUCAUGCUGACACGUCCAUGGAGCUGGAACAGAAAGUAAAAGGAGGUCAGUUGGUAGCGAAUCCUUCGAGAAUGACCCCUACAAGCUGGCAAGCAACUGACCCGUCAUAAAAUCCAAGAAUGGAAACUCGGCAGAAUGUUGCUGAGGGGAGAAUAAAACUGCUGUGUAAAAGGUCAGGUCAUCUGGGAUGUACUACUCCGCGUCAUCAUUUGGCUGAAGAUGACUACAGGAAAGGUCACAAAAGUCCAAUGCGGGACACUUUUAGACUGCGGACUUUCUGACAUCAAAACAUGCAAAUGAACGAGGCGACUGUCGCCAUAGCGAUGACGCUCUCAGCAUCGAGCUGCUUGGGGCGUUCCCAUGACAACAACGUGUGCCCUUGGACAAAGGAAAGAAGUUAUGAGAAGUGACUCACAACAAACACGAACAGAUGGACACACAAGUGAAGAUUUAGCGCGGAUUACUCGCGUCUGCGGCCGCCUGCGGCUAAAACAGUUAGCGUACUGGUCAAGGUUGUCUAAUUUGCCACGACCGUCUGCUACUUCUCACUCAUUUCGGCAGGAAGACGAGCAGCGUGUGGCCUUAAGGCAGCCGUGUCCAAAGUGUGGCACCUUCAAAAAAUACCAGGAAAAACAAAACAAAACAAAAAAAGUGGAAUAAAAGAGCGAAGAGGUGAAAAGUAACGAGAAAAAGUUGCAAUGGUGACUCUGAAAAAACUAUGCUGCCAUGCAGGCUGUUAUUUACUUUAAAGCUGUCAUUGCUCCAAAAAUAAUGAAUCAAAAUCAAUGUUAUGAAUUAUUGACCUAGACAAGGCUCACAUUACUUCAAAUCAAGAAUUCCACUUUGAAAUAUGUUGUUGAGAAAAAUAUUGCAUAUUUUUUGUGUUUGCCGUAUGAAAAACAAGUUUUUUUGAACAAAAAAGGGCAUAAAACAAACCAAAAAAAACAUGAAAAAAAUAAUAAAAACUUACAUAAAAGCGAUGGAUAGAUCCAAAGCUGACUUAAGCGUUGAAAGUAAAAAAAAAAAAGUAUGACUUAUUUUCAACAUUUUUUUUGGAUACCCAAAAAUUUUUGUGGGAUUUUUUUAAACUAUCGUUGCUCAAAAAUAAUGAAUCAAAAUCAAUGUUAUUAUGGAUUAUUGACCUAUUCAACGUUGUCUGUCUAUCUGUGUUGGCCCUGCGAUGAGGUGGCGACUUGUCAUGGGUGUAAACCACCUUCCGCCCGAAUGCAGCUGAGAUAGGCUCCAGCACCCCCCGCGACCCCGGAAGGGACAAGCGGUAGAAAAUGGAUAGAUGGAUGGAUGGAAGGCCUCAAUUACUUCACAUAAAAAAUUGACUUUGAAAUAUUUUUUGCACAAAAAAAAUUUCAUAUCUUUGUGUUUCUUCAGUAUUCAUUGACGAAAAGGGGCAUGAAACAAACAAAUAUAGUCAUUGAUGAUCAGGGCUCUCCAGUCUUCUCUGUUGUCCACCCUUUGUAUUAGUUCUUUAUAAUUAAUAUUUCCGAUAACAUUUCUGAGGCUGUUGAUAUGUUUUUCGUUGACGACCUGGAGCUUUCUUUCCUGCUAGUUUUCCUGUCAACAUCAGUUUUUCCAAGAUGUCUUUUCUAAUGAUAUGUCUGAGAAAUUUCAGCGGCCUAUUUCGAAACGUUGCAAUGAGAGAUCGUCUUGUUUUUGCCCAUGUCAAUACCUCUUUAUUACUUUUCUUUUCAGUCCAUGAUAUCCGGAGUAUUUUUUGAAGAACCACAUUUCAGUUGCCUCUAAUUUUCUCAGUUGUUGAUUAUUUAAAGUCCAGCAUUCAGACCAUACAUACCUUUUGAGGACUCUUGAGUUUGGUGUCAAUUGAGAUGUUUCUAUUUCUACAAAACCAGUGAAGUUGGCACGUUGUGUAA